rnacentral:rRNA from 1 species
AUGAACGCUAGCUACAGGCUUAACACAUGCAAGUCGAGGGCAGCAUGAAGUCAGCUUGCUGACUUUGAUGGCGACCGGCGCACGGGUGAGUAACGCGUAUCCAACCUUCCCCUUACUCAGGAAUAGCCCGGAGAAAUUCGGAUUAACCCUUCAUGAGGAGCUUUGGAGGCAUCUUCGAGGUUUCAAAUAUUCAUAGGCGUUGGAUGGGCAUGCGUGCUAUUAGAUAGUUGGCGGGGUAACGGCCCACCAAGUCGACGAUAGCUAGGGGAUCUGAGAGGACGGUCCCCCACACUGGUACUGAGACACGGACCAGACUCCUACGGGAGGCAGCAGUAAGGAAUAUUGGGCAAUGGAGGCAACUCUGACCCAGCCAUGCCGCGUGAAGGAUGGAGGCCCUACGGGUCGUAAACUUCUUUUGUCAGGGAAUAAAGUCAUCCACGUGUGGAUGUUUGCAGGUACCUGAAGAAUAAGCAUCGGCUAACUCCGUG